UACGAGGGGGGCAAAUGUUGUUCGGAAUCACUGGGCGUAAAGGGAGCGUAGGCGGGUUUUUAAGUCAGGUGUUUAAUCCCGGGGCCCAACCCCGGACAGGCACUUGAAACUGGGAAUCUUGAAUAGUGGAGAGGUCAGUGGAAUUGGGGGUGUAGCGGUGGAAUGCGUAGAGAUCCCCAAGAACACCCGUUGCGAAGGCGGCCUGACUGGGACACAUAU
rnacentral:rRNA from 1 species